UUUACUCAUGGAGCUGAAAUCAGUCGAAGAUACCAGCUGGCUGCAACUGUUUAUUAAAAACACAGCACUGUGCAAACACGAAAGUGGACGUAUACGGUGUGACGCCUGCCCGGUGCCGGAAGGUUAAUUGAUGGGGUUAUCCGUAAGGAGAAGCUCUUGAUCGAAGCCCCGGUAAACGGCGGCCGUAACUAUAACGGUCCUAAGGUAGCGAAAUUCCUUGUCGGGUAAGUUCCGACCUGCACGAAUGGCGUAAUGAUGGCCAGGCUGUCUCCACCCGAGACUCAGUGAAAUUGAACUCGCUGUGAAGAUGCAGUGUACCCGCGGCAAGACGGAAAGACCCCGUGAACCUUUACUAUAGCUUGACACUGAACACUGGUCCUUGAUGUGUAGGAUAGGUGGGAGGCUUUGAAGUGUGGACGCCAGUCUGCAUGGAGCCAUCCUUGAAAUACCACCCUUUAAUGGCUGGUGUUCUAACGUGGACCCGUUACCCGGGUUGCGGACAGUGUCUGGUGGGUAGUUUGACUGGGGCGGUCUCCUCCUAAAGAGUAACGGAGGAGCACGAAGGUUAGCUAAUCCUGGUCGGACAUCAGGAGGUUAGUGCAAAGGCAUAAGCUAGCUUGACUGCGAGAGUGACGGCUCGAGCAGGUGCGAAAGCAGGUCUUAGUGAUCCGGUGGUUCUGAAUGGAAGGGCCAUCGCUCAACGGAUAAAAGGUACUCCGGGGAUAACAGGCUGAUACCGCCCAAGAGUUCAUAUCGACGGCGGUGUUUGGCACCUCGAUGUCGGCUCAUCACAUCCUGGGGCUGAAGUAGGUCCCAAGGGUAUGGCUGUUCGCCAUUUAAAGUGGUACGCGAGCUGGGUUUAGAACGUCGUGAGACAGUUCGGUCCCUAUCUGCCGUGGGCGCUGGAGAAUUGAGGGGGGCUGCUCCUAGUACGAGAGGACCGGAGUGGACGCAUCACUGGUGUUCGGGUUGUCAUGCCAAUGGCAUUGCCCGGUAGCUAAAUGCGGAAGAGAUAAGUGCUGAAAGCAUCUAAGCACGAAACUUGCCCCGAGAUGAGUUCUCCCUGAGACUA
rnacentral:rRNA from 1 species